CCGAAAGGCAGGAGUGCCUGCAAGGGAGCGCGGAGACAGGUGGUGCAUGGCUGUCGUCAGCUCGUGUCGUGAGAUGUUGGGUUAGGUCCCGCAACGAGCGCAACCCUCACCUCUUGUUGCCAUCAGGUCAUGCUGGGCACUCUAGAGGAACUGCCCCGGUCAACGGGGAGGAAGGCGGGGAUGACGUCAAGUCAUCAUGCCCCUUACGUCCUGGGCUACACACGUGCUACAAUGGCCGGUACAAAGGGAUGCCACACCGCGAGGUAGAGCUAAACCCAAAAAGCCGGUCUAAGUUCGGAUUGGAGUCUGCAACUCGACUCCGUGAAGGAGGAAUCGCUAGUAAUCGCGUAUCAGCACGACGCGGUGAAUACGUUCCCGGGCCUUGUACACACCGCCCGUCACACCACGAAAGCCAG
rnacentral:rRNA from 1 species